rnacentral:rRNA from 1 species
UACGGAGGAUGCGAGCGUUAUCCGGAUUUAUUGGGUUUAAAGGGUGCGUAGGCGGACGCUUAAGUCAGCGGUAAAAUUGCGGGGCUCAACCUCGUCGAGCCGUUGAAACUGGGUGCCUUGAGUGGGCGAGAAGUACGCGGAAUGCGUGGUGUAGCGGUGAAAUGCAUAGAUAUCACGCAGAACUCCGAUUGCGAAGGCAGCGUACCGGCGCCCUACUGACGCUGAAGCACGAAGGCGUGGGUAUCAAACAGG